UUCUUUCUUUCUUUCUUUCUUUCUUUCUUUCUUUCUUUCUUUCUUUCUUUCUUUCAUCUGGUGAAUGAUUAAAGUUGAUGUUGUGCUUGAUGAGCUUGCUGCUGAUCCUCCAGAAUAUUUGAGUUGCAUGAACCUUAGGAGUCAUCUUGUUCAAUCCUCUCCUAUUUUACAGCAUCUCUUCACAGUCAGAAUCAACGCCUUGAUGUCUCAGGAAAGUCUCUAUUUGGAUGUCCCUUGAACUGAACUGGACGUGUGUAAGCAAAGAAAUUUGUUAGAACCUGCAGCUAAGGAGAGUUUGGCCUUCCCUGAAAUACCUAAGCUGCCCAAGACAGAUUUAAGCAGCACAAAGGAAGAAGAGAUUUCUUCAAUGAGAAUCCCAGAGGCCACACAACAGAGAUGAAUGACAGAUGUGAAAUAAAAGAGCAAUAACUCAUCACUGCCAAGGAGGUGUCAAAGCAGCCAUAUUGUUUCUGCAGUAUUGGCCCUCAGGGUGUUGUGGAAUUAUAAGGAGGAAGGACCUCUUUCUUGGUAUGCUGGUUCAAUUCUAAAACCUCACCAAGAUGCCUGCUUUUAGCUGGAGCAGACCAGUGCACAGCCAACCAGGUCUUCCUCCAAGAAGAACUAAAAAAGUGAACAGCUAGAUUGAAUCAUUCUUUCUCUCCUGUCCCUCUCCCUCUCCUGCCGCCUCUCCCUCUCUGAAGAUGUCACUGAGAUUGCAAGCCACUAAGGACUUCAGGGUCAAAUUGCUGGAAAGAAAAGAAGUAAAGUGAGUGAGUGAAUGAGUGCAAUUUUCUGAGCUGCUUUUCCCAAGACAUUGGUCAAUUUUUAACUGAUGGCAAAGACGGAAAAGUCUGACACAGCUUUGUCUGCUUUGUGGUAUUUGGAAGACAAAAAAUGGAUUUCAGAAAUCAAAAUCCAAGACUUCAGUUAGGACUCCUGAGAUUUACUCCUUAAUAGUAAUCCAGAAACAGAGACAACAGAGCCCACACAGAGACAAAAUUCAGCUUUUUAAGUAGCUCAAUUUCAGCCCUGGUUAAGUUGAAUUUCCUUUACCCCGACUGCUUGUAAGAGAAGAAUUUUUCAUGCAACAUUACUUAUCAUUGAAUUACAAAUUUACUGCACUAUAGGAAACAAGGAAAAGUGACUAAUAAGGAAAAUGUCUGCAUAUUGGAAUUAUCAAAUACUUACCCUGUGUGAGCUUCUUAGUAUCCUGGUGUCUCAGUCUCUCUAAGAUCUGUGAUGUGUUGAAGGUGAUGGGACAAUUUACAUAAUUAUGUAUGCUAAUAUAGGAAGAGAAUUUUUCUUCUACCUCCUCCAGUCCUUUGAUAUAUCUUAAUAGUACUCCUAAGCAAAUAAAUACUUUUAUAGAAUAAAAGGGAUGAUGCAAAUUUCAGAUUAAGUAAGAGAGAAGAAUUUUAUAAAAUGACAAUAUGAAAGAGCAAUAUUUGGGGGACAGGAAAGGCACUUUGGGGAUCCUAUUAUAGCUUAAUGUAGACACCUACUGAGCUGAUUACACAGAUGGUAAAUUGUUAUCAAACAUAAUUCAACACUGGCCUGUCUGAUUUUGUUGCUGUUUGAGCUUCAGACUGUGACUGCUCUCAAGUCUGAGGCUUUCUUCUGUAUUUCAUGCAGUUCUAUUGCUUUAAAACACUGAUGAGCUAUGAAGUGCUUUCCUUGCAGCAGCUGUAAAUCUAUAGGCCUGCCACAGCCAAUCUCAGCUCCACCAGGGCAUGAGUGCUGGCGUAAGGAAUGCAGAUUAAUUUUUGUUAGCUGUGCUUAGAUGAAGACAGAUCUUGCUCAAGAAAUUUAGGGAUCUGAAAAGAUGAAAAGCACAGAGAUCUUGGAUUGGGUAUUUUUUUUUUAGAGAAAAAAGACAUAGCAUAAAAUAAUAUUUCUAGGUAUAGUAAAGGAAGACAGGAGACCUGCUGCGUGUGUGUGUGUGUGUGUGUGUGUGUGUGUGUGUGUGUUAUAGUAUGAAAAGGUAUAAAAAAGUGAGGGAAAAUAAAUUCAGUUUGAAGAUUGAAUGGUCAGACCCAAUAGAGCUGCUGUUCUGUCAGUGUUGACAUUAUAAAUCCCCAUCUCUGAGUGUUUAUAAAAUCCAGUUAGACCUGAAACAAAAAUACCCUAGAAUCUAGCCAGCAAGCAAUUUCAAAAAAAAUUGAAUAAUAUACCUCAAUCACUUCUAACUUUAGGCUUUGCAAAUUGCUCCACCAUCAAACCUCCUGAAAGUGCCCAACCUCAUUUGACCUGAGAUUGAAGUUGAUUUCUUUCAGAUACAUUUUUGGUUUAUAUAAGUGUGGAAAAAUGCUCUUCAAAGAUACUUUAAUUUAGAUAAAUGUAGAAAUUAAGCUUCAUCAUAACUUCAGGGGUAUUAUCAGUAUAAUAGAUUUACUAUGUGUAUUGCUUGAAUUAAGCAGUUCUGGUAAAUACUUUAUAAGCACUGAAUUUCACUUAAGUAAUGCUCAGCAUUUUAAAGGCUUGCCUGAAACUGAGGCACUACACUGAGAUUCAGUAGAUGAUGGUAACAGAACAAUGGUCUCAGUACUGGUGCAGAGGCCGGCACAACAUAAUUGUUCAGGUACUGUUUACUGAAUCGAUGAAACUUGCCUUUGUCCAGCAUUGCUGAAUAAAUGUUUCAGUGUUUUAUUGAUUUUGCUUGGGAGACAGAGAAAAGAAAAAAAUUGGGAAAAGCUGAUAGAAUGGAUACAGAAGGUACAGUAAAACAAAAAAUGAGAAAGAUAAAGUGGAGAAAGAGAAAAGAAUACAUAGGUGAUCCAGAAACAGUCUCACAUCAAGAUCAACAACUUAUUAAGUGGACAUAGACAUAAGUAUAAUCAAGACCACACAUUUAAUCAUUCAUUUAACAAAUAGUCAUUGAGCACCCAAUGCACUCCAGGAACUUUUCUAAGUGCUAGGGUUAUAAUGGUGAACCAAAUGGUUAAAAAUUUCUUCCUGUGAACCAAUGUAUCCAUUGGUGAAUGAAUGGACAAGCAAAAUAUGGUCCUUACAUAUAAUGGAGUAUUGUUUAGUUUUAACAAGGAAGCAAAUUCUGACAUAUUUUACAACAUAGAUAAGUCAUGAAGACAUCACACUAAGUCAAAUAAGCCAACCCCUUACAUGAAAUACACAGAGACAGAUGGUAGAGAGAUAGUUUGCUACUAGAAGGAGGGGAGAUUGGAAUUAUUGUUAAGGGAUGUAGAUGUUCAGUUUUGCAAGAUGAAAGAAUUUUGGAAAUGGAUGCACAACAACAUGAAUGUAUUUAACAUCUUUGAACUGUUGCAAACAUGUUCUAAUAAAAAAUUUUAGAAAUAGUUAAGAUGGUAAAUUGUAUGUAUAUUUUACAACAAUAAAAAUUGAAAAUUCCUGCUCCUGUAAAAUUACUGUUUGGUAAAACUGAUAACAUUUUCCUAGAUUAUAAACACCUGUAGAUCU